CGAUCGGUAGGGGUUCUGAGAGGAAGGCCCCCCACAAUGGGACUGAGACACGGCCCAUACUCCUACGGGAGGCAGCAGUGAGGAAUAUUGGUCAAUGGGCGGAAGCCUGAACCAGCCAUGCCGCGUGCGGGAAGGAGGCCCUAUGGGCUGUGAACCGCUUUUGCCUGGGGGCAAUAAGGGCGUCGCGCACGUCCGAUGAGAGUACCAGGCGAAUAAGCAUCGGCUAACUCCGUGCCAGCAGCCGCGGUAAUACGGGGGAUGCGAGCGUUAUCCGGAUUCAUUGGGUUUAAAGGGUGCGUAGGCUGUGCGUCAAGUCGGGGGUGAAAUUCCGGUGCUCAACACCGGGGCUGCCCUUGAUACUGUCGCGCUGGAGUGCGGAUGCCGCCGGAGGAAUGAGUGGUGUAGCGGUGAAAUGCUUAGAUAUCACUCAGAACACCGAUUGCGAAGGCAUCUGGCGAAUCCGUAACUGACGCUGAGGCACGAAAGCGUGGGGAUAGAACAGGAUUAGAUACCCUGGUAUUCCACGCCGUAAACGAUGAUGGCUAACCGCCGGCGACACACUGUCGGUGGCCAAGCGAAAGCGAUAAGCCAUCCACCUGGGGAGAU
rnacentral:rRNA from 1 species